UCUGUAAGCCUGUGAAGGUGUGUCGUGAGGCAUGCUGGAGGUAUCAGAAGUGCGAAUGCUGACAUAAGUAACGAUAAAGCGGGUGAAAAGCCCGCUCGCCGGAAGACCAAGGGUUCCUGUCCAACGUUAAUCGGGGCAGGGUGAGUCGACCCCUAAGGCGAGGCCGAAAGGCGUAGUCGAUGGGAAACGGGUUAAUAUUCCCGUACUUGGUGUUACUGCGAAGGGGGGACGGAGAAGGCUAUGUUGGCCGGGCGACGGUUGUCCCGGUUUAAGCGUGUAGGUGUGUGUUCCAGGUAAAUCCGGUUCACUUUAACACUGAGGCGUGACGACGAGGCACUACGGUGCUGAAGCAACAAAUGCCCUGCUUCCAGGAAAAGCCUCUAAGCAUCAGGUAACAUCAAAUCGUACCCCAAACCGACACAGGUGGUCAGGUAGAGAAUACCAAGGCGCUUGAGAGAACUCGGGUGAAGGAACUAGGCAAAAUGGUGCCGUAACUUCGGGAGAAGGCACGCUGACACGUAGGUGAAGUGAUUUACUC
rnacentral:rRNA from 1 species